CAGAUCAGGUAGGAAUACCCGCUGAACUUAAGCAUAUCAAUAAGCGGAGGA
rnacentral:rRNA from 1 species